rnacentral:rRNA from 1 species
GUACACGCUGUGACUAGCAUAUCAAUAAGCGGAGGAAAAGAAACUAACAAGGAUUCCCCUAGUAACGGCGAGUGAAGCGGGAAGAGCUCAAAUUUGAAAUCUUAAAGGGUUUCCCUUUACGAAUUGUAGUUUAAAGAAGUGUUUUCUGUUGAGGUUUUGGUAAAAGUUCUUUGGAAUAGGACAUCAUAGAGGGUGAGAAUCCCGUAUUUGACCUUUACUUUCAACUUUGUGAUACACUUUCAAAGAGUCGGAUUGUUUGGGAAUGCAGUCCAAAAUGGGUGGUAAAUUUCAUCUAAAGCUAAAUAUUGGCGAGAGACCGAUAGCGAACAAGUACCGUGAGGGAAAGAUGAAAAGAACUUUGAAAAGAGAGUUAAACAGUACGUGAAAUUGUCAAAAGGGAAGCGUUUGACACCAGUGUUGUUUUUCUGAAAAUCAAUUAAAGAACUGUUUAUGCUAAGUUGUUUAGACUUUAUCAGCUAUCUGUUUAGUUUUGAGCUUUUCUUUAAUGCACUUUUCAGUUAACAAGUCAACAUCAAUUUCUUUUGCUGUAAAAAAGCUUGAGGAAGGUGGCUUGAGAUUCGUCUUAAGUGUUUAUAGCCUCUUGCCUAUGCAGUCGGAGAGAUUGAGGUCUGCAGCGUAGAUCCUUCGGGGCUAAAUGCAUUUGUGCUAAGUUAUAACAUUUUAUAGACAACUUGUUGACUAUGAUUUGUCUUGUAGCUUACUCGCUUAUGUUAUUUUACCUACGCUUAGGAUGUUGACGCGCGUGUGUGCGUG